rnacentral:rRNA from 1 species
UAUUUAUAGUCUAGCCUGCUCACUGACAAAAAGUGUUAAAUAGCCGCGGGUAUUUUGACCGUGCAAAGGUAGCAUAAUCAUUAGUUUUUUAAUUGGAAACUUGUAUGAAUGGUUGGACAAAGAAAAGACUGUCUCUUUUAUUAAAAUUGAAAUUAACUUCUAAGUGAAAAGGCUUAGAUUUUCUAGAGGGACGAUAAGACCCUAUAAAGCUUCAUAAGUUAAAUAAAUUAGAUGGAUUUUUAGAAUAAAAGUAAAUUUAGUAAGCUUAUUUAGUUGGGGCGACAAGGGUAUAAAAUUAAAUAACUGCUAUUAAGGUUAGACAAUUAUAUUUGGUUGGAUUGUAAUUGAUCCUCGCUAUGGAUUAAAAGAUUAAGUUACUUUAGGGAUAACAGCGUAAUUUCUUUUAAGAGUUCUUAUCAAAGGAGAAGUUUGCGACCUCGAUGUUGAAUUAAAAUGUCUUUAUAGUGCAGAAGCUAUAAAAGAAGGUCUGUUCGACCUUUA